UCGGGAGGCAGCAGUGGGGAAUAUUGCACAAUGGGCGCAAGCCUGAUGCAGCAACGCCGCGUGAGGGAUGACGGCCUUCGGGUUGUAAACCUCUUUUAGCAAGGAAGAAGCGAAAGUGACGGUACUUGCAGAAAAAGCGCCGGCUAACUACGUGCCAGCAGCCGCGGUAAUACGUAGGGCGCAAGCGUUAUCCGGAAUUAUUGGGCGUAAAGAGCUCGUAGGCGGUUUGUCGCGUCUGCUGUGAAAUCCCGAGGCUCAACCUCGGGUCUGCAGUGGGUACGGGCAGACUAGAGUGCGGUAGGGGAGAUUGGAAUUCCUGGUGUAGCGGUGGAAUGCGCAGAUAUCAGGAGGAACACCGAUGGCGAAGGCAGAUCUCUGGGCCGUAACUGACGCUGAGGAGCGAAAGGGUGGGGAGCAAACAGGCUUAGAUACCCUGGUAGUCCACCCCGUAAACGUUGGGAACUAGUUGUGGGGUCCUUUCCACGGAUUCCGUGACGCAGCUAACGCA
rnacentral:rRNA from 1 species